GACGAACGCUGGCGGCGUGCUUAACACAUGCAAGUCGAACGGAAAGGCCCUGCUUUUGUGGGGUGCUCGAGUGGCGAACGGGUGAGUAACACGUGAGUAACCUGCCCUUGACUUUGGGAUAACUUCAGGAAACUGGGGCUAAUACCGGAUAGGAGCUCCUGCUGCAUGGUGGGGGUUGGAAAGUUUCGGCGGUUGGGGAUGGACUCGCGGCUUAUCAGCUUGUUGGUGGGGUAGUGGCUUACCAAGGCUUUGACGGGUAGCCGGCCUGAGAGGGUGACCGGCCACAUUGGGACUGAGAUACGGCCCAGACUCCUACGGGAGGCAGCAGUGGGGAAUAUCGCACAAUGGGCGGAAGCCUGAUGCAACAACGCCGCGUGCGGGAUGACGGCCUUCGGGUUGUAAACCGCUUUCGCCUGUGACGAAGCGUGAGUGACGGUAAUGGGUAAAGAAGCACCGGCUAACUACGUG
rnacentral:rRNA from 1 species